rnacentral:sRNA from 1 species
AACAGCACCUGCGAAGUAAUUCUACAUGAGUUUUACAUGAACUGGACAAGGUGUGUUCUAACGACCCAGAGUGAGGAUUCUUCUGAGACUGCAUCGCGGAGCUGACAUGCCAAAUGAUGUGUAGUCCUGGGCCUGAGAUAGAGGCGGCACCUCAGCAUAUCUUUGAUACUUAAGGACUCCAUCAAAUCAGGGAUAUUUUUCUGAUCACAGGAAGCCAAUGCACGCCCUUAACGACCCACAAAUAGUCGAUAAACUUAAAUAUGUAUGGCUGGGGAUGUAGCAGUCCUUAGUCGAGGAUCAAGGAUAUUUUUCCCCCUUAAACAUACCUACUUUCCUCCGACAUUUCCUGUCCGAUCAGCGCUUGUAACAAGGACUAUCAGUAUAUUUCUAUUAUAGCUAUAGCUCCGCCAUCUUCCGAUCUGAAGAAUGUACCUGAUAGUUUGAACCCUGAUUGGCUUAAAGUAUAAUAGGGAUAUUGCCUUUUUAGUGUUAGACUUAAACCGAUUUUUAA